GAUGAACGCUAGCGGCAGGCCUAAUACAUGCAAGUCGAACGGGAUCUGAGGGUAGCUUGCUACCCGAUUUGAGAGUGGCGCACGGGUGCGUAACGCGUGAGCAACCUACCCAUAUCAGGGGGAUAGCCCGGAGAAAUUCGGAUUAAUACCGCAUAAGAAUGUAUUAACGCAUGUUAAAGCAUUUAAAUAUUUAUAGGAUAUGGAUGGGCUCGCGUGACAUUAGCUAGUUGGUGAGGUAACGGCUCACCAAGGCGACGAUGUCUAGGGGCUCUGAGAGGAGAAUCCCCCACACUGGUACUGAGACACGGACCAGACUCCUACGGGAGGCAGCAGUAAGGAAUAUUGGUCAAUGGGCGAAAGCUUGAACCAGCCAUGCCGCGUGCAGGAUGACUGCCCUAUGGGUUGUAAACUGCUUUUGUCGAGGAAUAAACCUAUCUACGUGUAGCUAGUUGAACGUACUCGAAGAAUAAGGAUCGGCUAACUCCGUGCCAGCCGCCGCAGUAA
rnacentral:rRNA from 1 species